AUGUCAAGUCAUAGCAAUGAGAUUUUGCAAACAAGGGUCAAAUCUCCCCGCCCAGUCAGAGAAAGGCACCCCACAGAGAAAACAAUGCUCUGCCUUUUGCAGCAGGAAGGCCAGCUUAGGCAGAGGUUUAACAGAGCUUGGCAAAACCUGCCAACCAUAGCUGAUGCAAUAAAGGCAUCCUUUUGCCCAAAGGAAAAGGAAAUUCUUAGGCAAGAAUUUGUAAAGGCCUUCAAUAAUGGGAGUGCUAUUGCAGAAGAAAUAAUCUAUGUACUGAACAAAAUUAACACUCCAGAGUCUUUAGAUAGGGCUAAGGAAAUUUCUUUUAGCCUACAAGAAGAGAGGAGGCGCUACAGCGCGGUUCUAUCUGAACCAGAGCCCAGUUCCUUAUUCAAAGGUGCAGAAGAAAGGGUUCAAGGCUCCCCAUGUGUAAGCCUUAGAUCCAGUCUGCUCAAGAUUCCAUCUAAUGAUGCUAGCCAUAAAUCCAAGCAUUCAUCUAGGCGUAGCAGUUCCUCCCAAUCCACACAUUCAUUCAUCAGUACUUCUUCCAAAGCAGCCCACUACAACAGAGAGGCUGUCCGUUUGAAAAUUAGAAAAGAGGUUUUAGAAGCACAGGCAUCUGCAGAAAUGGCUAAGCAACACCUUGCCUUCAGUGAAGAGGAACUCCUCCUUCAACAGGCUAAAGCCAAGCAGAAACUGCUUCUAGCUCAGGCUAGGGCCCAACAAGAAGCUGACCUAGCACAGGCCAGCGCCCAGAGAGAAAUAGAGCUUGCAAUGGCUGAAGCCAAGCAAGAUGAGCUGCAACGGGAUCUAGAUCUGCUUCAAGUAAAAAGAGACACAGCACAAAAGAUAGUCAGAGCUAAUGUUCUAGCCAAAGCCCUAUCACAGGAACUAACCCAAGAAAACCUUAGUUUCCUGCCAACACAAGAGCCUACAGCAAAGGUUUCAGCACACCUGCAACUGGCACCACCUGUAGUGCAGAGUCAUAUCUCCUUUUGCCACCUUGAAGAUCGCUCACCUGUUCCAGUGUUCGCGACUUCAAGGCCAGCCCAUUCCUCAGAAGUACAGCAAAGCACGGCCGGGAGAGUGCCAUCUCUGUCAGAGUCCAUCCCUGUACUUAGGCCUCAGAGAUACCACUUGUCUACUUGGGAACAAAAAGAUGACGUCUUUCAACAACAUCCAGAUGUCCAUUCACAUUGGCAAGGCAUGGCCGGGAGUGAACCACCACAUUCAUCCCUGCAUACCAAGUCAAUUCUCCCAUCGCUGAAGAUGAAGGCUUCAGAGGUGCUGCCUGCCAGCAAUCUGCUGAACCCAGCAUCGCCUACCAUCGCGAAAAGAUGUGUUCAACCGAAGAACAUUGACUUCGUCGGGCCACAUCACACUCCUCAGAUGUACCCUUACACACUGGAGUCUCAAUUGGGUUCCCUCUUGAGAAAUCCAAGAAGAGACAUCAGAGACAAAGGCGUCCAGAAAUUCACUGACCGACCGGAUGACUACCUUCUGUGGAAAAUCACCUUCAUGAGGGCCAUUCGAGAUUUCAAGCUAGAAGCAGAUGAAGAACUGUCCCUUCUUAUGGCGUGGCUUGGACCCAGCUCAGCCGAGCAAGUAAAAAGACCUUAUGCUGCUCAUGUAGCAGACCCCCAAAGAGCUUUGUCCACAGCGUGGUCUCGCUUGGACCAGCGCUUCGGUGCGAGCACUGAGAUAGAAGCGUCCCUCAUGGAUCGACUCAACAGGUUCCCAUCACUGAAGAUGAAAGAUUGCAAACAGCUUUGGGACUUUAGUGAUCUUUUACUAGAGCUAGCUUCAGCCAAAGGAAAUCCAGAGCUGCCAGGUUUAGCAUGUCUGGACCAGCACACGUCACAGAGUGCCAUUCUCUGCAAACUUCCUUUUCCUCUUCGAGAAGCUUGGGGGAAACAGGUGUUCAAGUACAAAGAGGAGAAUGCAAAUGUAUACCCGCCCUUCACCUUUUUGGUGGAUUUCGUCACUAGAGCAGCCCGUGAGAGGAAUGACCCUCAAACAGCUCUUCUCGCUUUGUACCAAGACCUAAAGCCUGAAAAGACCUCCAAAGAAGACAAAGCCCAGGGCAAAGAUCUUAAAAGGAACCUGAGUGUCAAGAUGACAGACGCAACUCCUGCAACUUCUGCUCAACCAGUCAGCAAGAACAGCAUAUCCUGUCCCAUUCAUCAAAGGCCACACAGCCUAGCUGAAUGCAGAGAGUUCGCAAAGAAGCCUUACAAAGAACGACUCCAAAUAGUUCAAAAGGCCAAGGUGUGCUUUAGAUGCUGCGGCGCCACUAUUCACUUCUCCAAAGACUGCAAAGAAAAGGUUAAAUGCCAACACUGCAACAGCAUCAAGCAUUGCUCUGCAAUGCAUAACUUCGAUUCCCCUCAAUUCAAAGCAAAGUCAAAUUCUCCUGCCAAAGAAGAAACCAAAGAAGACCAAAAGCCUACAGAACCUCAGGUAGCCCUCAAGGCUCCUGCGGUUGCCUGCACCAAGCUUUGUCAAAAUAGCCACAAGCCCAGGAUUUGCCACCCAAUCUGCCUGGCAGAGGUGUAUCCAGACAAGCAGCCGUGGAAUAAGAAAAGGGUCUACGUCGCCUUGGAUGCCCAAAGUGACGCAUCUCUUGCAACCCCAGAGUUCUUCAACAUGUUCAACCUUCAUACCGAGACAAUAGAUUACACCAUAUCCACUUGUUCUGGAAAGAAUAAGAUGAAUGGCAGAGUUGCAACAAAGUUCAAAAUCUCACCUGUCGGACAAAAGGCCAGGUACGAUCUUCCCGACCUUAUAGAAUGCAGCCUGAUUCCCAGGAACAAAGAACAGAUAGCGACGAAGGAGGUGGUACAAACCCAUGCUCAUCUCAAAGGUAUUCAAGAUCUAAUUCCAGCUUUGGACUUAGAAACAGACAUCGUAAUGCUUAUCGGUGCAAAUUGUCCCACACUGUUCCGUGUUAGCAACCAGAUUGAAGGUCCUAAGGGAUCACCCAUGGCCCAGCAGUUGCCUUUAGGAUGGACGGUGUUAGGCCCAGUCUGCCUGAACAAGAUGUUCCAGCCUGUCACUAAAAGGCCUUCACUAAUGCAAGGAUGUGCCAGCCACAUCUCAGUUUGCUGCCAGGGAGUAAUGCCAGAUUACUCUCCCAUCAUCGAAGUCACAGAGAGAGAUGAGCAAACAGCCUUCUCUAAAAAUGAUCAGAAGUUUCUUGAGAUGAUGAACAACCAAGUCACUCAAGACCCUGAAGGUAAUUGGAUAGCACCUUUACCUUUCAAGCUGGAAAGACCAUCUCUACCCAACAACAGAGAUGUUGCCCAUCAUCGUCUCCUGUCCUUAAGAAGAAGGAUGCUAAAGGAUCCGAAGGUAAAGACCCAGAUCACCCAGUUUGUGGAAGACCUCUUCAGAAGCAACUACGCUGAACCAGCCAGCAUGUGUGCGGAGGGAGAAGAGCAGUGGCAUUACAUAUCCACUUCAGAAAAUCCGGCAGAUGUGACAUCCCGAGGAACAUCAGCCGCAAAGUUGUCCAAGUCAUCCUGGAUCACUGGACCCAAAUGUCUUCAAAAUCCUUCCUUUCCAGAAAGCAUUUCCGUGCUCAAAGACACUGAGUUGCCAGAAAUUCAGUCCUGCAAAUCUACCAUCGAUGGCCAAGACUUAUCAAGGGAAGGUUUAAAUCUAGCCAAGUUUGAAAGAUUUUCAAAAUGGACUAGACUUCAGGCAGCCAUUGCCAGGCUCAUACAUUACAUCACUACAAAAAACAGUGGUGCAAUUCAGCCCCAAGAUCUUUCGAAAGCCUCAACAGUCAUCCUGAGAUCCACUCAAAGACAGUGUUUUUCAGAAGAAAUAGCUUGUUUAGAAAGAAAAGCAUCCUUGCCCAAAAAUAGUUGUUUAAAGGACUUGAACCCCUUCCUGGACAAUGAGGGUCUCCUUAGGGUUGGAGGUAGACUAAAAAGAGCAAAGAUUAGAUCCUGUGUUAAAAAUCCUUUUAUUUUGCCACACCAUAGCCACAUAGCUCUGCUGUUGACACAGCAUUUCCACGCAAAGGUCAAACACCAAGGAAGGUCAAUUACUCAGUCUGCCCUAAGAAACUAUGGGUUUUGGAUUGUUAGGUGCCAACGUAAAGGUUGGGGAUUUGGUGUUACUUAA
ensembl:lncRNA